rnacentral:rRNA from 1 species
AGAACGAACGCUGGCGGCAGGCUUAACACAUGCAAGUCGAACGGUUGUAGCAAUACAGCAGUGGCAGGCGGGUGAGUAACACGUGGGAACCUUCCUAGGGGUACGGAACAACUCAGGGAAACUUGAGCUAAUACCGUAUACGUCCGUGAGGAGAAAGAUUUAUCGCCCCUAGACGGGCCCGCGUAGGAUUAGGUAGUUGGUGAGGUAACGGCUCACCAAGCCUACGAUCCUUAGCUGAUCUGAGAGGAUGAUCAGCCACACUGGGACUGAGACACGGCCCAGACUCCGUACGGGAGCAGCAGUGGGGAAUCGUUGGACAAGUGGGCGCGAAGCCUGACUCCAGCCAUGACCGCGUAGAGUAGAACGGAAGGUCCGUUCGGGUUAGUAAACGUCUUACGUUUAACCGAGGGACGUAGUAAGU